UUUUGCAUUGUUUUGCCAAGUUUUGUAUUUCUGGGGUGUUUAGUUGUGUGCCAAGUUUCGUAUUUCUGGGACGUUUAGUUGUGUUGUUACAAAUGGGAGGCAAGGCUUUUGCAUUGUUUUGCCAAGUUUUGUAUUUCUGGGGCGUUCAGUUGUGUGCCAAGUUUCGUAUUUCUGGGGCGUUUAGUUGUGUUGUUAUAGUCACGAUGCAUUGUUGUGAGUUUUGUGGUGUGGUUGUGUUGUUACAACCGGGAGGCAAGGCUUUUGCGUUGUGUUGUCAAGUUUUGUAUUUCUGGGGCGUUUAGUUGUGUUGUUAUCGCAUGAUGCGUUGUUGUGAGUUUUGUGGGUCUGGAUUGUGGUUUUGUGGUGUGGUUGUGUUGUUGUAACCUGGAGGCAAGCCUUUUGCAUUGUGUUGCCAAAUUUUGUAUUCCUGGGAUGUUUAGUUUUGUUGUUAUAGUCACUGCGCAAACAACUUUAUCAUUUUAUAUAUAUAGAUUACAUUUAACUGUCAGCUGUCCUCCAUUUGGUACUCUUCACUAACUUCACUAGCUAUAGCAACAGGGGCUUCUUUUAUAUGUUCAUACAAUUUGAUGAAUGUCAUCAUCUUUCAUCAAUGUCUUCCCAUUGCCUUCAAGGAACAAAUAUGUUACUAUACGCAAAUAAAUGAAGGGAUAGAAAUUUCAUUUCAAAAUAGCAACCCCCAGAAAAGAAAAGAGAUUUCAGUCUCCUAGCCUGGAGAUUCUGCUUCUAUUUUUUUUUUUUAAAAAAAAAGGAGCUUCAAUGGCAAACUAUAAUGUAUAAUAUUAUUUAUUUAGAAUCAAGAAACAAGGAGUUCUGUCAUACUAUAUUUCCAUAGCAUAACUUUAAAUACUCUGCUAUCAAUAAUUACUUCUGUUUCUGGUGGCUGAUGGCUCCCAUGCCAGUGGUUUGAAAUGCAAAGCAGCUGUCCAAGGUGCUGAACCUAUUUCAUCAUUGAAAGGAAAAUCUCCAUGAUUGCCUUUAAGUGAAUCUCUGCCAGCACAGGUGCAGGUAGAAUUAUAUGGCUGAAAAGAACAUGGCUGUGAGACAGAAAGACUCUCAUCCAACUGCUAACAGUUCAAGGGAGCAGUUCCCAGGAGAUCAUAGAAGGU
rnacentral:lncRNA from 1 species